GCUUUCCUUUAUGUUUUGUCCAUACUUUCAAAAAGUGUUGAUGAUCAUAAUCAUCCCAGCCUCCUUGUCGUCCUCCUGUUUGCUGAAGGAACCUUUCAAAUUCUACUACUUCUUCAGGAAACUUAAUGCUGGUGAAAAGAAUGUGACUGAGAGCCUUUGUUUUCAGUCCUGCAACAGGAUGUGCAAGGAUGAGCCCUUACAAUCUCAUGGAGUCUUGAAGAGUGGAGAUAUGUCAGUAUCAGAUUCACAGAAGGAUAGGCAGACUGGAGAAAGGACAUCCAGAGCCUGCACUGAUGGCAUAAGCAGAGACCUUCCCUGCAAGACAAUUAUCCAAGAAAAUUGAACUUUUGUCUAUAAAAGGCAAGUAUUUCAAACUCCAUCAACAAGACUUACAUUCCGGUGUAGGCUUCACAUCUUUCAAUUGUCGUUGAAGUCUCUUAACAUUAUUGUGUAUUUUUGCUAGUUGUUGCUGGAUUUUUGCUUCUUUGGAAGAAAAAUAAGUUAGUCAGUCAUGUUAAAAGUCUAAUUGUACAUCAAAUUGAAAUUUCUUGCCUUUACCCUCAAACCUCUAAGUCAUUCAGCCCCGACAUCUCUGGUCUGGUCACCUUUCAUGUCUUCUCUGACACAACUUCCCAUUCCAACAAUGAUGCCAGCAAAAAUGCCAGUAUUGAUACCGUCUUCAUCAUCUUCUCAUAGAAGCAGCGCCAUCCAUGCUUUCUUGCUGCCCCUUGUGCUGGGAACACCAAUUCUGACUCUAGCCACUUCCCUUGCCCCAUUCAAAUUCCUCCUACUCACCUCUGUCAUAAGGCCUAUAAAAUGUGGAGGAAAGAAUAGCUAUCCUUAACAAACAAAACAGCACCAUCAAAAUGUGUACUAACUUUACUGAGUAAUAUGAUCUUAUUGCUAUCUUUGCCCUUCCUUUCCCUGCUUUGUGUGUUUAGUAGGACGCUAACAUGUUAGGUCAUGUUAGUUUGUAUGCUCUUCAGAAUAUGUAAUGUGUCUAUUUAUUUUGUGAGGUACCUAGCAUAUCUUUGGGAGUGCAGAAAAUAAUUUAAAGAUAUUGUGUUUGGGGACUUUUUGAAAAUGCCUAUCUCCAAUGAUGGUGUCAACUUCCCUGAACGACACAUCAGGUCUUUUCUCAAUAUUGAGUGUACUACCCUCUAUUUCAGGCACACUCAAAGUGUUAACCAACUUCUGCAGUCCUCCCUGCAACCAACAUACCUUCUCAUGCUGUCAUCUAUCCUUACCAGCCCUGGAAUACAUAACUGGACAUUUCAAUGCCUGGAUUCUCUAGGACCCACUUCCAAUGCUUCUGCAAAUCCAGACACUGAAAUAUUCAAAGAUCUACUUUUUUUAAGUGAUCAGUGUGGGAGACACAGAGAAUCCUU